AUGACUUGCAUGAUGGAGGCUGCGGAAUUUCGCCCUUGGUCAGAUCUUCCGCCAGAACUCCUGGGACUUGUUCUCAAGUGCCUCCCUUCCCUAGCUGACCGUUUUCGUCUAAGAGUUGUCUGCCACCCAUGGCGCUCUAAUAGUAUGUUGCAACCCCUUCCACUCCCAUUUCCAUGGCUCACUCUCCCCGAUGGUACUUUCCUCAGCAUUCCAAGCGGUGAGAUACAGCCCAUAUGUUUACCAGAAGGUGCGUGUUGCCAGGGCUCCAUUGGAAACUGUCUAUUCCUCACGCACAAUGAUGAUGUGUGCUACUUGAUGAACCCUUUCUCCAACACUAGGUUGGAGCUUCCUAAGCUAGCCAAAGUAUGGAAACAUGAAAUGUUUGAUCCCGACUCUAGAUUUAGUCCAAUUUUCUACAAGUUGGUGGUGCCCUUUCCCCUUGACUCAUCUCCCUGUUCCCUUGUUGCUGCACUGAUCAUGGACGAUGGUAAUUGCGGUACACUUUGUAUUAGCAACCCACCGAUUGUCACUGAGUCGUUCAGAGACGAUGAGCAUCCAGUUCUGGAGCUCCAGGAUGUUGCAUUCUUUGAUGGAAAGUUGUACGCGUUGGUAUUUCAUUCAUGA
rnacentral:rRNA from 1 species